AGGAAACUUUGGUGCCAAAAUUCCCAUGGGGAUUUCAUCAAUGAUGUCGCCAGAGAGACCGGCGGUGGAGCUGACCGCGUUCAAGUCCUCAGGGCUCUGAGAGGUGACGGCCUGACCCAGCCCGCCCCCAGCCCCCCACACAGACC